AUGAAGAGUUUGAUCCUGGCUCAGGAUGAACGCUAGCGGGAGGCUUAAUACAUGCAAGUCGAGGGGUAGAUAUCUUUCGGGAUAUUGAGACCGGCGAACGGGUGCGUAACGCGUAUGCAACUUGCCUUACACUGGGGGAUAGCCCGGAGAAAUCCGGAUUAAUACCCCAUAAUAUUAUCGAAUCGCCUGUUUUGAUAAUUAAAGAUUUAUUGGUGUAAGAUGGGCAUGCGUCUGAUUAGCUAGUUGGUAAGGUAACGGCUUACCAAGGCAACGAUCAGUAGCGGGUCUGAGAGGAUGAUCCGCCACACUGGUACUGAGACACGGACCAGACUCCUACGGGAGGCAGCAGUGAGGAAUAUUGGACAAUGGAGGCAACUCUGAUCCAGCCAUGCCGCGUGAAGGAAGACUGCCCUAUGGGUUGUAAACUGCUUUUAUAUGGGAAGAAUAAGUAGUACGUGUACUACGAUGACGGUACCAUACGAAUAAGCACCGGCUAACUCCGUGCCAGCAGCCGCGGUAAGACGGAGGAUGCAAGUGUUAUCCGGAAU
rnacentral:rRNA from 1 species